rnacentral:rRNA from 1 species
GAGAUGAGGACUCCCACCCCCUUUGAGGGGUUAAGGCUCCCAGUAGACGACUGGGUUGAUAGGCCGGAUCUGGAAGCCAGGUAACUGGUGGAGGUGACCGGUACUAAUAGGCCGAGGGCUUGUCCAUG